rnacentral:lncRNA from 1 species
CCUUGCUGCUGUACUUGCAGGGUUGCAGGGACCUGAGCUGUGUCUCGCAUUUCGCUGUACUGCACUGCCUUGUGUCGCCCUCAAACAAAAAUUUAAUGCUGUCCCUAUGUACGACUGCUACUUCUAAUCGCCAGCUGUUUUCUUCUGUGUGAUCUCCAAUUAAAAAAAAAGCUUUUAACUACAUGACAUCCUUGCUAAGCUUCAGGAACAGAAACAAUAUCUUGCUCUUCCAUUCCCCCUAUGAAGAUGGCCAGGCUGACCUCAGAUGGGUAUCCUUUCCGUGGUGUGUGUUCACAAGGUAAAAUACGUGCAACGAAAGCAUUUUUCUUUUUCUUUGCCUGUCCUUUCUGUAUCAGGGCAAAAUUUAAUACAAUUCAAACUUCUUAAACUUUCCCGUGUUUGAAUAUGCCCCAAAUUAACAUUAAAAUACACUCACUCACUCAUCCCCAGGAUCUUCAGAUUUAGCGAGCCUCUCAGCAGGUGUGAGGACCUUUGAUGUGCUGCACUUGCAGCAGCCCUGGAACGUGACCCCUGGAACCGGCCAGUACAGCUGGAGCCCUCGGAGCGCUGCAGGCCUGGUAUUUAAUGGGGUCUAGAAAGGGAGAGAUUUGGGGGAAAAGAGGUAAGGGCUUUCCCAUGAAACACCCACAACAGCGUAUUUGCGCAGAAACUGAAGUCGUUCCUGUUUGGAUUGAACAGGCAGGAGCUGUUCUGCCGUUAUCUGGAUUAUGGACCUGCUGCCGCUUUCCCCCCGUGACCCUCCCCUUCGUGUCCUCCUCUUGCAGCAGCCGCUGGUACCAGUCCACAGUCCUAGAGCUGCGAAUGCCACGUUUCUGUCGGGGUGCUUUGCCGUCACCUCGUUUGUGUGUUCGGAGCCUCACCAGGAGGGUUUCAGAGCAAAGCCACGUACGCAAGCAAAGAGACAGAAAGGCCCCAGUUGCUCCCGACGAAGCCUCUUGUGCCGCAGGGCUGUGGCUCGGUGGUGGCGCUGCAGAGAAGCCUUACGAGGGCCACAUCAGUUCUGUGCGCAAUGAAACGGCGUGGAUUCAGGUCUAGAAUAUCUGCUUGAAUUGUCCAUUAGGGGGAAUUUCCAAAGGCUUUUUUUCUAAGUGGAAACUAUUUAAAUUCUGUGAUUAGCAACUGCUUCUGAAAUUUGCUUUUGCAAUGAAAACUCACUUUGGCCGAUCCAGAUUCAACCCAGGUUGCGAAAAGGAGCUCUGGUUUCCUUGCCUGGCCUCUGGUGUCACUGUUGUGCUGCACACACACACGUGGCUUAAUGCCAUUGCUUACACAUGCCAAAACGGAAGUUGUUAAAGAAACAAAACAAACCACCAAUUAAUUCAUAUCCUAUCCAAACUACUCGCCUGAAAGUUGUAUCAUUACUUUUGUAUUUCACUCAUACUAACAAGACAGUGAAAUAAUAAAUCCUUAAAAUCUGAUUGGCUGAAAAUAAAA